UGGUUCUGGCAUCGAUGAAGAACGCAGCGAAACGCGAUAAGUAAUGUGAAUUGCAGAAUUCAGUGAAUCAUCGAAUCUUUGAACGCACAUUGCGCCCGCUAGUAUUCUGGCGGGCAUGCCUGUUCGAGCGUCAUUUCAACCCCUCGAGCCCGCCCGGGCUCGGUGUUGGGGCGCCCCGCGAGCCCCCUCAGGGCCGCGGGCCCCCUAAAGCCAUCGGCGGACCCCCCGCGGACUCCGAGCGCAGUAGUCUUACGCCUCGCUCUGGUGGACCGGGGCGGCUCUCCAGCCGCUAAACCCCCCAAUUUUACAAGGUUGACCUCGGAUCAGGUAGGAAUACCCGCUGA
rnacentral:misc_RNA from 1 species